rnacentral:lncRNA from 1 species
AUGCUGGGCCUCUGUGCCCUCCGCUCCCUUCCGUCAGGAAAUCCAGGCCGCAUACGCUGCUGUGGGCCCCUGACGUCCUUACCUGUCUGCCGGUGCGGCGCCCGCCCCCCGCUAGGUGCUCCGGGGCCAGGGGUGCUCCGAGGCCAGGGGUGCUCUGGGGGCAGAGGUGCUCCGGGGUCAGGGGUGCUCCAAAGUCAGAGGUGCUCCAGGGUCAGCGGGGGCCAGUCCCUGGGGGCCCCGCAGGACGGGGGGAGGGUGGAGAGGGUGACCCAAAGCCGGCCCGGGCUGCCUGGGUGGACACAGGAGGGGGUGUCACAUGUGCCAGGGCGCGGCCCUGCUGUGACUCGGCGUGUGGCCGCUGGGAAAGGCGCGCCGCCGGCCUGGAGUGCCCUGCAUGUCCAGGGUCCCCCGUCGCCACGAGCGUGGACAUCCGACCGCCGGAACAGGCCUGAGGGCAGCUGGCGUCGUCCCACGGGGGGGCACUUCCUUCAGGAGCCGAAAUGUCGACGUGUGUGGCACUGGCACCCCCAUACUGUCAACACCCACCAAGUGCGGCAUCAGAGUCCCCGGGGCUGGACGGCGAGGCAUCCGAGAUGUCACCUUAGCACGGCGGAGCUUGAGCGCUGACACGUGGGCCGCCCGCAGAUCCGGGUGUGCAAAGCCGCCUCAUCCCUCAAGGUAUUCGGGGUUAAUCACCAAUUAAAAUCGGCCAAGACAGCAAAUGUGCACGGGCGCUGGGAAAUGCAUCUUCCUCCUGGGAGCGAGCAGGGCCCCCACCCAAGUGAGGAGGCGCUGCCGGCGGUGCUCCCACCCCCCGAUCCCCCCAAAAGGGGCCAGAGCAGGAAAGACCCUGCGGUUUCUGCUCCGGUUUAGGGCAGCGUCGCCUCCUGGGCGGGACCGCGGGAAGCACACGCGGCCCGGGCAGGGGAGCCUGCGGGUGUGCAGAGCACAAGCUUCUGCCGCCCGCGUUGCCCCGCGGUGUGCGCCGUGCUGCGGGGCGGCGGGGCCGCCUUGGGCUUAUCCACACGCACGCACACGCGCACACACAUACCUUGAGCAUUUGUAUCAGCGUCUUUAGAGCCGUAAACCAAUCUGCCCUUAGAGAAACAUACAUUUCCUUAAACUGGCCUGUGGCCUUGAGGCCCUGUCCACGCAAACCUUUCUUCCCCUCUGAUAUUUCAUCAUGAAAAAUAAUUUUUUAAGGUUUUAUUUGUUUACUUGGCAGAGCGAGCAAGCGAGUGAGCACAAGCAGGGGCAGAGGCAGAGGGAGAAGCAGACGCCCCCGAGCAGGGAGCCCGACGCGGGGCUCCACCCCAGGACCCCGAGAUCACGAGCUGAGCUGAAGGCAGAUGCCUCACCCACUGGGCCCGGGCGCCCCUGCAAGACAACUUUUGAGUCCACGCUCACUCGGCAAGGACUGCACAUGAGAACCCCGUAGGCACCGCCUAGUUUCUACUGUUACUUUAUUCACUUGCUUUAUCACGGAUCCAUCCACUUGUCUGUGUUUUUAUGCGUCUAUCAAUCAAUUAUUCGUAUCGUCGUGAUGCAUUUCAAAGUAAAUUGCAGACCCUUCUUUUGAAAUACGUCAGCAUUCGUAUCACUAAAACCCAAAAUUUGUUCCCAGGUGGUUUUUUGCUUUUUGAGUAAAGUCUAUAGGCAAAGAAACACAGAAACGUGAAGUG